rnacentral:misc_RNA from 1 species
AAUAUGCACGCCAUUUCCAUUUCUUUGAUUACCCUUCUGCAACUGAGGAUGGCCAAAACAACAGCAAAGUGUCCAUAAUCUCUGGAUGGCUUCUUGAUGUCUCAGAAUUCAAUGCUCUUCCAGGAAGAGGGGUCAAGUGCUUUAUUGAUGGAAAACAAGUUUUGGUUGGCAAUCGGAAGCUGAUGAAUGAAAAUGGAAUCACCAUCCCAACACAUGUAGAAAAUUUUGUAGUAGAACUUGAAGAAAGUGCAAAGACAGGCAUACUUGUUGCAUUUGAUGACAACUUGAUAGGUGUCUUGGGGGUUGCAGACCCACUAAAGAGAGAAGCUGCUAUAGUCAUAGAAGGUCUUCAAAAAAUGGGUGUCAAACCAGUCAUGGUGACGGGAGAUAAUUGGAGAACAGCUCGUGCUGUUGCCCAAGAGGUAGGCAUUCAAGAUGUGAGGGCUGAAGUAUUGCCAGCGGGAAAGGCUGAAGUCAUUCACUCAUUUCAGAAGGAUGGAAGUGUAGUAGCAAUGGUGGGUGAUGGUAUCAAUGACUC